GCUUUACUAGCUGAGUUGGCACAGCGUCAGUCUCAUAAUCUGAAGGUCGACAGUUAGAAUCUGCCGUGAAACA
rnacentral:tRNA from 1 species